UACGGAGAAUGCAAGCGUUAUCCGGAUUUAUUGGGUUUAAAGGGUGCGCAGGUUGUUUGAUAAGUCAGUGGUGAAAGUCUGUCGCUUAACGGUAGGAUUGCCAUUGAUACUGUUAGACUUGAAUAUGGAUGAGGUAGGCGGAAUGUGUAGUGUAGCGGUGAAAUGCAUAGAUAUUAGGAGGAACACCAGUGGCGAAGGCGGCUUUCUGGACAGUAACUGACACUGAGGUACGAAAGUGUGGGGAGCAAACAGGAUUAGAUA
rnacentral:rRNA from 1 species